CCCCCUGACCAUCCCUCCCAUCGCCUACCGUGAACCUCGAUGCCGUGAUCCCGUGACCCUCUCUCCAUUCACUCAUCGCCCCUCAAUGUUGUGAACCUCAUGGUCGUGUAAAGAUAUAGAAACCCACCCAUUGCAGCUAGAUGCCAUGAAUCGGAAUUGGUAAAAUGUCAAUACUCAAAGUAGAACAAAUAUUGUUUAUUAUCGUUGCUUUGACAAUUGAUUUGAGAAAUUUAAUAGACUUGUAAUAGAAAGCAAUGAACGCAAAAGGAAGAAAUACAUAAAUUUAGGCAUAAAUUAUAUAACAAGCAAUGUUGGGCAUGCCUGCUCUUUAUAUCUAUAUCAACUUAGAUUGAUUACUUGUGCUUUAUACAAUUUCAUCUUUUAACAUCAUAAUUUAUGCUUGAAACUUUUGUAUUUCAUCCUUUUGCAUGCAUUGCUUUCUGUUACAAGUCUGAUCAAUUUCUCAAUUUGAUUGUCCAAGCAACGAUAAUAAACAACAUUUGUUAUAGUUUUACUAUUGACAAAAUGUCGUGGCUAUUGACUAAAUUACCUAUUUCGAUUCACGGCGUCGAGCAUCAAUGUAGCAGCGAUGGCGAUGGGUGAAUGGAGAAAGGGUCACAGGGUCACAACAUUAAAGUUCACGACAGGCAAUGGGAGAGAUGGCCAGAGGGUCACGAUGUCGAGGUUGGUCGAUGGGAGAGAGGGUUAGGGGUUGGGUUAGUGGUCAUGGUCGAUGGGAGGAAAGGUCAGGAGUCACGAGCAUUGGGAGAUGCAUAAAUGGCUUGAACCGGAAUGAGAGUCUGUUUACUGCGGUCCCAUAAUUAGAAACCAUGGGUGGCUACGUGGCAAGACACCAAAGAAGAGUGUUAUUUGACACCAAGUCCGGUCACAAUAUUUAAGUGAUGUUCGGAUAGUGAGUUGAGAUGAAAUGUGUUAAGAUGAAAGUUGAAUAAAAUAUUGUUAGAAUAUUAUUUUAAAAUAUUAUUAUCGUUCUG